rnacentral:lncRNA from 1 species
CAUGUGGUUGCUGGCUCCUUGAUGAUGACUUGCUAACUAGUCCAUUCUGUGCAAACAAUGAUAUGCUGCUUGAUUUCUGAGCUUUCUUCCUAGGCAUGCAGAUGGGACAUCCAGUAGACGAGCCCCUAACUGAUGCCCCAUCCUCGAGAAGUUCACAGUGAAGAUGUAUUGCAUGACCACAACUGAAAAUUUGAAUUCCAGAAUCAUCCGGGCUUUUGGCGAGUAGGCCAUUACAUA